UACGUAGGGGGCAAGCGUUGUCCGGAAUCAUUGGGCGUAAAGAGCGUGUAGGCGGCCCGAUAAGUCCGCCGUGAAAGUCCAGGGCUCAACCCUGGAAUGCCGGUGGAAACUGUCGGGCUGGAGUCCGGAAGAGGCGAGUGGAAUUCCUGGUGUAGCGGUGGAAUGCGUAGAUAUCUGGAGGAAUACCGGUGGCGAAGGCGGCAUCCUGGACCGACAUUGACGCUGAACGGCGAAAGCUAGGGGAGCAAACGGG
rnacentral:rRNA from 1 species